UGCAUAUCCCAAAUAGCGGAGGAAAAGAAACCAACAGGGAUUGCCCUAGUAACGGCGAGUGAAGCGGCAACAGCUCAAAUUUGAAAGCUGGCUCCGGCCCGCAUUGUAAUUUGCAGAGGAUGCUUCUGGUGAGGUGCCUUCCGAGUUCCCUGGAACGGGACGCCAUAGAGGGUGAGAGCCCCGUAUGGAUGGACACCAAGCCUGUGUGAAGCUCCUUCAACGAGUCGAGUAGUUUGGGAAUGCUGCUCUAAAUGGGAGGUAAAUCUCUUCUAAAGCUAAAUACCGGCCAGAGACCGAUAGCGCACAAGUAGAGUGAUCGAAAGAUGAAAAGCACCUUGAAAAGGGGGUUAAACAGUACGUGAAAUUGUUGAAAGGGAAGCGCUUGUGACCAGACUUGCGCCGGGCAGCUCAUCAGGGGUUCUCCCCUGUGCACUCUGCCCGGCUCAGGCCAGCAUCGGUUCUCGUGGGAGGAUAAGAACGGUAGGAACGUGGCCCCCUUCCGGGGGGGUGUUAUAGCCUACCGUACGAUACUCCCGUGGGGACCGAGGUUCGCGCUCCGCAAGGAUGCUGGCGUAAUGGUCAUCAGCGACCCGUCUUGAAACACCGGACCA
rnacentral:rRNA from 1 species